GACGAACGCUGGCGGCGUGCUUAACACAUGCAAGUCGAACGGAAAGACCCUGCUUUUGUGGGGUGCUCGAGUGGCGAACGGGUGAGUAACACGUGAGUAACCUGCCCUUGACUUUGGGAUAACUUCAGGAAACUGGGGCUAAUACCGGAUAGGAGCUCCUGCUGCAUGGUGGGGGUUGGAAAGUUUCGGCGGUUGGGGAUGGACUCGCGGCUUAUCAGCUUGUUGGUGGGGUAGUGGCUUACCAAGGCUUUGACGGGUAGCCGGCCUGAGAGGGUGACCGGCCACAUUGGGACUGAGAUACGACCCAGACUCCUACGGGAGGCAGCAGUGGGGAAUAUUGCACAAUGGGCGGAAGCCUGAUGCAGCAACGCCGCGUGCGGGAUGACGGCCUUCGGGUUGUAAACCGCUUUCGCCUGUGACGAAGCGUGAGUGACGGUAAUGGGUAAAGAAGCACCGGCUAACUACGUG
rnacentral:rRNA from 1 species